UUAACGAGAGUUUGAUCCUGGCUCAGGACGAACGCUGGCGGCGUGCCUAAUACAUGCAAGUCGAACGA
rnacentral:rRNA from 1 species